rnacentral:rRNA from 1 species
GUGGGGAAUAUUGGACAAUGGGGGGAACCCUGAUCCAGCCAUGCCGCGUGUGUGAAGAAGGCCUUUUGGUUGUAAAGCACUUUAAGCGAGGAGGAGGCUACCGAGAUUAAUACUCUUGGAUAGUGGACGUUACUCGCAGAAUAAGCACCGGCUAACUCUGUGCCAGCAGCCGCGGUAAUACAGAGGGUGCAAGCGUUAAUCGGAUUUACUGGGCGUAAAGCGCGCGUAGGUGGUCAAUUAAGUCAAAUGUGAAAUCCCCGAGCUUAACUUGGGAAUUGCAUUCGAUACUGGUUGGCUAGAAUAUGGGAGAGGAUGGUAGAAUUCCAGGUGUAGCGGUGAAAUGCGUAGAGAUCUGGAGGAAUACCGAUGGCGAAGGCAGCCAUCUGGCCUAAUACUGACACUGAGGUGCGAAAGCAUGGGGAGCAAACAGGAUUAGAAACCCCGGUAGUCC